GGGCCUCCGAGCAGCUAUGGGUGGGGAAAAUUACCUGAAAAUGUUUCUCCCCGGGUCCGUAGAGGAGUAAUUAGCUGCUAAGUAUAUGGAAAUUGAAGGGGACAGGAUUAGGACUAGCAGCGAGUUAACAACUUUCAAAUUAUCCUCAUUUUGAUAUUUUGUAACUUACUUCCAGCAGAAUUUCUCAGCAUUUUUUGUCUCCAAAAAAGAGAACUGAUCCAUUCUCUCAGAUCCAAAAAUAUGGACAUAAAAGGUUUUUAAUGAAAACUGAAAAUUGUUUAUAGAAGUUGCUCAGUUUGCAGAGUCUGCUCCAUAAUUGUAUUAAAAUUUGUUGGAAUAAUAAUAAUUUAUAACUAAGAAGAGGAAAGAAGGAAAGGUGGCAAUAUUUCUCAUUGUUAACAGGGCAGAAGGUCUCCAGAAACCAGCUGAGAUGAGCAGAUGUAGCUGUGGGGAGCUGACAAACCAGCGAGCCCUGCAGACGCCCCUGCUGCAGCCACGCCGUGCUGUCCUUAGCGAGGCUGCACCAUGCAAGGGCAUCUCAGUGAAGAUUUCAAAGCACACAUCCACGAGAAACUAGCCAGAUCUGAAGGUACAUCGUAGUCAGAACUUUGUGGAAGAGCAGAAAACAACACGCUAGCCAGCACAACUAACCUGUCUCAGCAGCUCCACUGUGUUUGUCAAGACCAGAGGGAGGGAGCUGGAGCCUUUCACCAGCUGGAGCGAUUCCAGGCAGCAGCCACAGCUCCUGAAUGCAGCCCUUUCAAACUCCCACUUUGUGCAAACUGAGCGAAGCACACGCAUGAGGAGUUUCGGGCUCUUUGUAUGGCCGUGAAUGGGGCGGCACCUCCAGAGCCUGCUGAAGGACCAUCUGGAGAGUGCCCCGAGCCAGCCGUGUGCGUGAUGUUGGCAAAAAGCAGUUGUUUGUUCUCCUAGGAAACGAUCCAUCUGAAAAUGUUUCAAAUACCAGGACAAUAUAACCGUAGCAACCCACAGCAUGUGGCACAAGCAAAGGCAGGGGUGUGCUUUUUGCACUGACAGGAUGAUGAAACAGCAGCCUGAGCCAGCUGGGUCCCACCCCUCCCUGUUUCCUCCAGAUCUUAUCCCUCUCCACAAGCACUGCAGCCCAGGCAGCUGCGCGAUGAGCCACUGAGCUGGGCCAGACCAAGUCAAUCCUGCAGCAAAGGGAUGAGCCUUUGAGCCCAGACGGGCUCCCUGAGCAGGGUCAGCUUGCAGUCACAGGGCUGCCAGUGCCAGCCCAGUGUGGCACCCAGCAGGGGCUGAAGGCAGCUCCUUCUGACUCUGCGAGACUCUGCCCUUGCCUGUUCACACUGAGGAAUGACGGGUUUGUCUUCACAAACAAGCUGUGGGUCUGCUGGCAGAUAAAACUAGCACUGAGAGAUAAAAAAACAAUGGGAAGGAUUCCACUGAUUGAUGAAUGGGAAAAGAUAUUUGCCUUUACAAAAACGCUGUAGGUUUGCUGAUAAAUGAAAUUGGAUAUUGAAAGAUUAAAGAAACAAUGGGGAAAGACCCUAAAUUCCAUAAGAAUAAUAAAAAAGGAGGAUUAAAAAGAGGGCAAUCUUUGGUAUCAGGUGUUCUGGGAAGUCUGUACAUCUCAAGUGCCUCAGCUAAUGGGGAAAGAGAAAAGGGAAAUGCAGCCAGGAAAUUAGGAUAGAAAGGAAGGCUGUGUCCUCCAAAAAUCUGAGACACCCCAGGGGAAUGCCCCAUGGUGUCUCCCUUUAUUCAAAUAAAGUAAAAGAACUCCUCUCCUUAUGUCUCCCUUUUGGACAUAAACCUCUGAUGUUUGUGCAUUAAUUUUCCUGACAACACCAAGAGCCUAAUGUCAUGCACCUGAGCCUAGCAAACAAGGCCCUUUGCCCACUCUGCACUUGCAGCACAUCUUGGUCUUUCCAGUGCUUUGGAAAGCUCCAUGUUCCCAGCAGAGCAGGAUUACAGCCUGGAUCUAUCCACACACAUCAAUUCUUGUUACAAAGCACAAGUGCUCAGGUACCGUUUGGCAUGUGUUUUGAUUUGCCACCAAAGUGGGAAAGCAUCACACACUUGUUAUUAUCUCUAUUUGAAAUAAAGACUGUAACAUCAUUUUGCAAAUAU